AGACAAAAUCCAAAAGCAGAGUUCUUACCAGGACAUUCCCCAAGGAAGCAGAGACAGUUGGUCUGGGAGCCACAGCAGGGGAGGAGUCCGAAAAGUAAGGAUGGCACACUGGACAUCAGAUGAAGAAGACUGGAACAGGGAAUGGUUCUGCUUGAAGGAACAACAAAAGAUGGCCUGUCACUGUGCCUGGGAUCCUGGCUGGAGUUCAUAGUCUUUGGGGACCUACAAGAGAAAUGGAGCAGUUCUGUGGACAGAGCUGGGCUUUGCUUUCCUGGUCCAUGCUUUGAUGCUCAAGAGAGGCUCUGGGUUACAUUGUCUCUGCUGUAAUCAUACCCUCAUGUUCCCUCUGCUUCCCCAGCAUCUGAACAUGUCCCCACACAGUUGUACACAGUAUCGCCAGAUCCUGGUCCCACUGUUCAAUCCCCAGCACACACAUGGAAGCUCACAACUGUCUGUAACUGUAGUCUUGGGGGAAUCCCAUGCCCUCUUUUGGCCUUGAGGGUACUGCAAACACCUGGUGUACAGCUUUCAGGAAAACACUCAUAUAUAUAAAAUAAAUAUGAAUAAAAUCUCAAAAAACACCUAAAAA